rnacentral:rRNA from 1 species
UUGAACGCUGGCGGCACGCCUUACACAUGCAAGUCGAACGGUAGAGGGGCAACCCUUGAGAGUGGCGAACGGGUGAGUAAUAUAUCGGAACGUGCCCAGUCGUGGGGGAUAACGCAGCGAAAGCUGCGCUAAUACCGCAUACGAUCUAUGGAUGAAAGCGGGGGAUCGCAAGACCUCGCGCGAUUGGAGCGGCCGAUAUCAGAUUAGGUAGUUGGUGGGGUAAAAGCCCCACCAAGCCGACGAUCUGUAGCUG